AGAGUUUGAUCAUGGCUCAGAAUCAACGCUGGCGGCGUGCCUCAGACAUGCAAGUCGAACGAGAAAGUGGAGCAAUCCAUGAGUAAAGUGGCGUACGGGUGAGUAACACGUGGGUGAUCUACCUCUUAGUGAGGAAUAACCCUGGGAAACCGGGGCUAAUACCGCAUAAGCCUUAGCAGGGAAAGUCGAAAGACGCUGAGAGAGGAGCCCGCGGCCGAUUAGCUAGUUGGUGAGGUAAAAGCCCACCAAGGCAGAGAUCGGUAGCCGGCCUGAGAGGGCACACGGCCACACUGGCACUGAAACACGGGCCAGACUCCUACGGGAGGCAGCAGUGGGGAAUCUUGCACAAUGGGGGAAACCCUGAUGCAGCGACGCCGCGUGAGCGAUGAAGCCCUUCGGGGUGUAAAGCUCUUUCGUCAGGGAAGAUAGUGACGGUACCUGGAGAAGCAGCUGCGGCUAACUACGUGCCAGCAGCCGCGGUAAUACGUAGGCAGCAAGCGUUGUUCGGAGUUACUGGGCGUAAAGGGUGUGUAGGCGGUUCUUUAAGUUUGGUGUGAAAUCUCCCGGCUCAACCGGGAGGGUGCGCCGAAUACUGAGGGACUAGAGUGUGGGAGAGGAAAGUGGAAUUCCUGGUGUAGCGGUGAAAUGCGUAGAUAUCAGGAGGAACACCGGUGGUGUAGACGGCUUUCUGGACCAUAACUGACGCUGAGACACGAAAGCGUGGGUAGCAAACAGGAUUAGAUACCCUAGUAGUCC
rnacentral:rRNA from 1 species